rnacentral:rRNA from 1 species
GACGAACGCUGGCGGCGUGCUUAACACAUGCAAGUCGAACGGAAAGGCCCUGCUUUUGUGGGGUGCUCGAGUGGCGAACGGGUGAGUAACACGUGAGUAACCUGCCCUUGACUUUGGGAUAACUUCAGGAAACUGGGGCUAAUACCGGAUAGGAGCUCCUGCUGCAUGGUGGGGGUUGGAAAGUUUCGGCGGUUGGGGAUGGACUCGCGGCUUAUCAGCUUGUUGGUGGGGUAGUGGCUUACCAAGGCUUUGACGGGUAGCCGGCCUGAGAGGGUGACCGGCCACAUUGGGACUGAGAUACGGCCCAGACUCCUACGGGAGGCAGCAGUGGGGAAUAUUGCAACAUGGGCGGAAGCCUGAUGCAGCAACGCCGCGUGCGGGAUGAAGGCCUUCGGGUUGUAAACCGCUUUCGCCUGUGACGAAGCGUGAGUGACGGUAAUGGGUAAAGAAGCACCGGCUAACUACGUG